UACGUAGGGACCAAGCGUUGUUCGGAUUUACUGGGCGUAAAGGGCGCGUAGGCGGCGCGGUAAGUCACUUGUGAAAUCUCUGAGCUUAACUCAGAACGGCCAAGUGAUACUGCAGUGCUAGAGUGUGGAAGGGGCAAUCGGAAUUCUUGGUGUAGCGGUGAAAUGCGUAGAUAUCUGGAGGAACACCGGUGGCGAAGGCGGCAUCCUGGACCAAUAUUGACGCUGAGGAGCGAAAGCUAGGGGAGCAAACGGG
rnacentral:rRNA from 1 species